UAAUGCAAUGACAACGGAAACCAGACCGGGGUCCUUCGAAGUAGCAAAAGGGUAACUGACUGGCAUGCCACCCAGAUCCCCGUUCCCGAGCUUAUCCUGCCACAGAGAUACCCACACGCCCAUGUUUUCUGUUGUUCUGUUCACAAUUGCAUGGGAAUGGAGCCACCCUAUCUGUCCCUCAGCUGGUGCCUGGAUAAGGAAAGCAUGGCAUAUAUGCACACGGGAUGCUAUUCAGUUGUCAAGAAAACUGAAGCUGUGGAAUUUACAGAAAUAAUUGCUGUAACAGAAAAGGAUCGUAUUGAGUAAGGCUAAUGAAAAAAAUUUAAAGAAGAGAGAACGUCAGCUUAAGACUGGGAAUCCCAUCUCGGAGCCCAGACCCAUUACUUACCAGCCCUGUGGCCCUAAGACAUUUCCCACCCUGAACCCCAGCUUUAUUGGUAAUAAUCCAACCUCGUUGUCAUUAUGACUAAUAAAGUCCUCAGUAUAUCUAUAUUUCUUAAA